rnacentral:lncRNA from 1 species
GUUCGGGGGAUAUAUGUGUGGAGCAUAUGUGGGGAAUGUGGUUGGUCUGGCCUGUAAGAAGUUAAAAAUGUAGGUGAAGAGUUUUGUUUUGGGUUUUUUUUUUUAUUAAGAAGAACUAGCAAUUUUACGAUCUAAUCCUAACUCAUCGCUCCUUUGUCACCUGCUGCUUGUUCUGCGUAUUUUCAUUUGCCUUUGCUCCUGCCCUUUAAGUGAAACGCCGCCCUUUUCACCU